rnacentral:lncRNA from 1 species
AGCAAUAUAACUGCAUAUGCCUCAAAGCAGUGAGCCAAUACAAAUGAAAUAUUGAUAAAGGUAUGUAAUUUACAUUUGAUAUAUCAAUGGUCAUUAUUCAGAAUUCCAAUCUAGAUUACAUAUAUAUAUUUGAACAUAUGUUAGCUUACAGGUAAAGAAGGCACGGAUGAUGAAAAUAUUAUGCCCUUCAUGCAUUACACUUUAAGCUUGUCAAUAUGGCUAAGUUUAGCGUGAUGUAAAGAGGUGGAGAUGUAAAUUGCGAGUAUGGGAUGGAGUGCAAAUGGCUUUCCAAGUAAAUAAUAUGAUGAAGGACGGGGAAAAUAAACUUUAGCCAUGUACUAUUCAUCCAACAUUUUUGCGUACCUUGCAUCCAUGAGUUAAUUCACUUAAAUUUCUACACAGACGUACUUAAAGGGUGAUGUACAAAGAAAUUAUAGAACAGAACUGGAGAAGUACACAUAUGAAUACCACAAUUUGUCAUUCUCAAUGCAGAUUCAUCACGUCACUUACUCCAAAACUGGUCUUGGUUUUCCACUGCAAUAAAAGUUCCUUUAAGAUGUACUACGCCAAAUUGAUAUUGAAUUUAACUCUCAACAAGUGAUGGUCAAAGUUGGUCUUUUUCCUUACUCCAAAACUGUCUCUAUCAUCCAAUCCACUCCCUCCCCCAAACACCCACACACCAAAAGGCCUUUGUAGAACUAAAACAGAAAGAGGAAGCUUUCAUAUAAAGAGACAAAUUGAGUUCCUUUCCAACAUAAACGCAAUGUUGCACUUGUAAACAUAUACUAGUAUAU